rnacentral:tRNA from 1 species
CGAGUCGCGGGUCGGCGCGGAAGGCCGGGUCCACCCGGAACGUGGCCUCGGCCCGGUAGCCGGGCUCGGCGACGUACGACCCGUCGGCGGCGCGACC